AGUCGAGGGGCAGCGGGAAAGUUAGCUUGCUAAUCUUUGCCAGCGACCGGCGCAUGGGUGACUAACACGUAUGCAACCUGUCCGGUACAGGGGGAUAAGCGACAGAAACGCCAUCUAAUACCGCGUGACAACCCGAGGGGGCAUCCCCUUGGGUUCAAAGGAUAGAUCCGGUACCGGCUGGGCAUGCGGCGCAUUAGCUAGUUGGCGGGGCAACGGCCCACCCAAGCAACGAUACGUAGGGGUUCAGAGAGGAAGGUCCCCCACACUGGAACAGACACACGGUACACACUCCUACGGGAGGCAGCAGUGAUGAAUAUUGGUCAGUGGGCGCAAGCCUGAACCAGCCCACUCGCGUGAGGGAAGACGGCCCUACGGGUUGUAAACCUCUUUUGCCGGAGAGCAAACCUGAUCACGUGAGCACACUCGGACACUACCCGGACAAACAGCAUCGGCUAACUCCAUGCAACCAGCCGCGGUAAGACGGACGAAGCGAGCGUGAUCCGGAUUUAUUGGGUGUAAAGGGAGCGCAGGCGGUCCGGCAAGUCCGAUGUGAAAGCCCGGGGCUCAACCCCGGGACUGCAUUGGAAACUGCCGCCUUGGAGUGCCGGGGAGGUAAGUGGAAUUCCUGGUGUAGCGGUGAAAUGGGUAGAUUUUUGGAGGAACACCAGUGGGGAAGGCGGCUUCCUGGACGUUAACUGACGUUGAGGCUCGAAAGCGUGG
rnacentral:rRNA from 1 species